ACAAUAUUUUGCCGCCUAUAUUGUUUCUGGUUGUUAACAAUUUUUCAGCAUUGUUCAGGCUGAACAAUAUUCUUAACAACCAGGAACAAUAUGGGCAGCAAAAUAUUGUUC
rnacentral:miRNA from 1 species